AUGCGUAUACAUUGGUAGUACGCAAAUAACAAAAUGUCGUAAAAACUACAAACUAAAUCAUACUAAAAUCAAAAUUUUAGUGUUUCGACAGUGAUUCUUCAACGACCAACGACGAACAUUCUGGAAACAAAGAACAUAUAUAUCUUCAAGAACAAAGAAAACUUUACGGAGUUAUAAAAACUGCAGACCUAAUAAAUGGCGAAAACGGAUUACUUCUCAAAAUGAUUCAAUCAAAAGCUGCUUUUAUAAGACAAAGGUUGAGUGGGUUCGUAAAUGAAGAUGAGGGGAUUCGCUAAUUGUAGCAGAAGAAGAAGCCUAAAGUUUAGAAUUUUGCAUUAAUUUUAAAUUAGGUGUUGUUUUUUUAAAUUUUUCCUUUACCUUUCGUGAAGGUUAUUUUGAUCGGUAUUUAGUUUUAUCAUUUUUUUUACGUCUUGAUAUAUACCGGGUGUCUGGAAAAUGGCGGAUUAACGCUCU